rnacentral:rRNA from 1 species
CAGUAGCCGCGGUAAUACAGAGUGUGCGAGCGUUAAUCGGAUUUACUGGGCGUAAAGCGUGCGUAGGCGGCUUCUUAAGUCGGAUGUGAAAUCCCUGAGCUUAACUUAGGAAUUGCAUUCGAUACUGGGAAGCUAGAGUAUGGGAGAGGAUGGUAGAAUUCCAGGUGUAGCGGUGAAAUGCGUAGAGAUCUGGAGGAAUACCGAUGGCGAAGGCAGCCAUCUGGCCUAAUACUGACGCUGAGGUACGAAAGCAUGGGGAGCAAACAGGAUUAGAUACCCGAGUAGUCCCUGUCUCUUAUAU